rnacentral:rRNA from 1 species
UUAGCAUGUCAUCAUCGAAUAGGACGUGUGCUAGUAUUCCCGGGCUUUUAGGACCGCGGUAAUGAUUAAUAGGGACAGUCGGGGGCAUCAGUAUUCAAUCCAGAGAGGUGAAGGUCAUGGAUGGAUUGAUGACUAAUUACUGUGACAGCAUUUAACAAGGAUGAUUUCAUUUAUCAGGAUAGUAAGUUACUGGAUCGAAGCCGAUCAGAUUCAGUAGUAGUAUUUAUCAUUAGUUAUGCGAAUUAGCGAUCGAAAGCAGUCAUUUAUUGAACAGUUGGCCACCAUCCGCGAAAUCAAAGUCAUGAGAGAGCAGGGGAUGUAUGGUUCCAAGGUUGAUAUUUAAAGAAAGAGUUGGAAGGGCACCACCAGGGGUGGAACGCGGGGUUCAAUUUGACUCAACACGGGGAAACUCUUCAGGUCCAGACACACCGAGGAUCCACAGUCUGAGAGCUCUUUCAAAAUUUUGUGGGUGGUGGUGCAUGGCCGUUGGUAGUAAAAGGAGUGACUCCUAUCCUGAAUUGGCAUAACGAACGAGACAGUAUCCGGCUAAAUAGUCUGUUUUUCCCUGGUAGUACGCUGAUUUUUGAGAGGGAAAAUCGUCUCAAGCAGAUGGAAGUGCGAGGCAAUAUCAGUUAUAAGAUGCCGAAAGAUGUUUUGGGCCGCACGCGCGUAACACCCCCAGGCGUCCGAGUCCUUCAUUGGCUGAAAGGCCCGGGUAACAAAAGAAAACCAAAAGUGUAGGGGAUAGAGCCAUGCAAU